AUGACUGAGCAUGCAAACAGCUUCUGUAUCUGUUACAGACAAGGGAACUAAAUAUAGUCUGAGCCGGACAACAACAUGCACAAGUAAAUCUCACAGACAUUGGCUCACUCUAGAGAAUCUCCAGUUGUACUUUGUACUUCUGUCAGCUGUUAACUAAUCCUGAUUGUUUGGUUGUGGCAUGAUUCACUUCUGCGCAAGAAAGGACCUGGACCAGCAAUCACUGAGUGCAGAUUACUAAUGACAGUUUAUGUAUGCACCAUGGCAUGGAAUGUGACCUAAACAUCUAAAAUGAGUGGGUACUAAAGAGAGACAAAGUUUGGACAUUGACACUGUCGGCCCAUUGAGGGCAGAUUGUUGUAAUUUAAGGCCAUGGGACUGUCAGAUAAAGCUGUGAUUGGCCGAGGCCUCAACAGUCCUGAUCCAUUGGUGCGUGAGGCCUACCUGAUGGCAUAUGACUAUAUCAACUAUGUGACGGCCAAACCAGGCAUCCCGGUGGGUCCAGCACCAUCCCGUGCCACGGCCGCCCUGCGUUAUGCUGGAGAUGAGCUACUCACUCGCUUCCCCAUCUUCUUUCGCCGCUGGCCGCGUGUUUUCCAGGACGUGACGGACCGAACGGCCUGCUCGACCCUCGUUUCCAUUCUGGAUGAGCACUUUGCACCCACACGACGUAGAGAUCUCGCCUGGAGCGCCGUGCUGUCUGUGUUUGUUCUCUCUGGACAGCUGGCACUGCACUGCCAGGAGAGGGGCAUGUCUGAUAUCCUGCCCCAGAUUCAGGAGUGCGUAGGCAGCUACGUAGAGAGGGUCAUCUGCCCCGAGAUCAAGGACAGAGGAGGAUGGUCAGGUUUUAUCAGUCGUUUUGGCGAGAAGCAGAAUCUUGAAGACCAGGUGAUGAAGGUGUGCUGCUGGUCUCUGCUCUUGCUGAGUGUUGGGAUCUUAUCCUACUUUGUAUGGAGAAGAAAAACUUAGACAACAGCGCCAUCUGCUGAGAAAAUGUAAUAAGGACACUCAUGAUUCACUUGGUUUGUGUCUCUCUAGGGAAUUGCUGGCAGGAUAUGAGCUCUGACGGUAAUGCAAGUGGACUGUCCCACCCCCUCUGCUCUUCCCCGCAGUCAAUGCUGAUGAGGCCCUGGAGACGUGGACAGAAGAACACAGAUGCACGCAGAUAUAGAUGAUCCACUGAUACAGUGAUCCACAACACUGGAGAUAAACAGCAUGCUUGUGAAACUGGUUUGUCUUACUGUAAGGUGUAAUGGUAAGGCACAUUUUACUUUUAGUGCUUGAGCAAUUCCUGUUCUAAAGGCCUUGUGGAGAUUUGUCGAGGGAUCCUUUAUUGGUUUUCGGGGGAAGGUUUUGCAUCUUCACAAUCAAUAACAAGUCAUUAGUGUGCCAUGAGCCGUUCCCUAAUUUAAGGAAGGAAGUCAUUUGAGAUAGGCUGCCAACGCAACAUCUGCUGUACACGCUAUAUGGUGGUUAUUUGUUUUAUAUAUUUAUAGCAAGAUUAUCUUUGUUAAUCAUUACCAGCUAUGUUUGUUGGUCCACCAGCUACCAGCAUAAAGCACAUUUACCAUUUAAUACAAAUUAUUGAUUUAAACCUAGGUCAAACCUGUAAAAGUUAAAUAGAAAUGUGCUGGUUUUUCAUUUGGAUUCAGCUGAUGUCUUGUGUUGUAUGAAUACAGCUGUAGGACUUGAAUGGAAGGCAUUUUAAAGCAUUUGUUUAAAGCAAAUGCCUUGUCUGCUAUGAAGGGCCUCGCCCAGGUUUACCUUACAAAUAACUGGAGCUCCCUCUAGUGUUAUUGUUAUGUUAUUGCCAAGCAAGCCAAGACAACAUAUCACAGCCACCGGAAACACCAGAGCCAGAGCCCAUCCCACCAGACACAUUAUCCCUCUCUCCAGCAUCUCCACUUUUACAGAACAAGCAGGAACCCAGUGUUUCUGUAGCUGUCUCUUUCUCUGUUUUAUCACGUGAUAGAAAGUCUAAGGCCUUCUCAAGCCGUACGGCUGACCCAUCUAAUCUGCGGCCUGUAAUGCACCAAUCUAAGAUUGCUGUAGAGACAAAAUGUAAUUCCAUCAAGUUAGCAUUUUUAAACAUUCGCUCACUAAAAAAUAAAUCAUUUCUGAUCAAUGAUUUAAUAACAACAAACAACCUGGAUUUUAUGUUUCUAAAUGAAACAUGGCUAGAAGACAGAUGCAGUGCAACAGUCCUCAAUGAAACAGCCCCUCCUAACUUUAAUUUUACAAGUGUCUGCAGGACUGUUAGGAGAGGUGGAGGUGUAGCUGCUCUAUUUAAAGAUGUUUAUCAAUGCAAGCAAGUGUCAUUUGGUCAGUAUUUGUCUUUUGAAUACCUAGGUAUUGUGCUGAAAGUUGCUCCACGCAUUCUGUUUAUCAUUAUUUACAGGCCUCCAAAAUACUCUCCAGCCUUUGUUGAAGAGUUCACAGAACUGUUAUCAAUGAUUUCCUCAGAGUUUGACUGUUUUGCUAUUGCAGGGGAUUUUAAUAUUCACAUAGAUAAUGCAGAAAUCAAAACUGCAAAAGAAAUUAUAACUGUUUUAAACACUUUUGAUCUGAUCCAGCAUGUGCAUGGACCAAUACACAAUCAUGGACACACUCUAGAUUUACUCAUCAGUAGAGGUCUAAAUAUUUCAUCCAUUGUUAUUAAUGAUGUAUCUGAUCACUUCUGUAUUUUUAUUUUUUUUGAUAUAUUGAUCUCUGUUACCACUGAAUCUAGAUCUGUCUCUGUCAGAAAGAGAUGCAUUAACGAGAACACUAGAAGGCUAUUUAUGAAGGCUAUGUCUUUAACACCAAGCAUUUCUGCAGACUCUGUGGAUCUUCUCCUGGAUUCUUUUAACUCAAAAGUUAAGAAUGUUAUUGAUGAUAUUGCUCCGGUAAAAGUCAGCAAGAAGACUGGCAGACAAAUAUCAUCUUGGAGAAAAUCAACAGCAGUUCAGAGUAUGAAAAGACAAUGCAGAAAAGCUGAGCGGAUGUGGCGGGAGACGAAACUCGAAAUUCACUAUAGCAUCUAUAAAGACAGCCUUCAUGCUUUCAAUGUGAAACUAGCCACAGCUAGACAGAUCUUCUUAUCAAACCUUAUAAACAGUAACUUAAACAACACUGAGAAGAUCAAUAAUAUCAGAAAGAAGAUUGGCACAUCUUCUAGUUAUGCAGAGGUCACACAGAUUCGACCGCAAUUUCAAAAAUAAAUUGUAUGUCUGUUUUUGAAGCAAUUGAUAGCAAAAUUUUGGAAGAAACAGUACAGCACCUUAAAUCUUGACACACUUCCCACAUCUUUUUUCCAAAGUGUGCUUAACUGUUUAGAAGCAGAUCUCUUAGAAGUGGUGAACGCCUCACUUCUUCCUGGGACUUUUCCAAACUCCCUGAAAACUGCAGUUGUUAAGCCCCUUCUGAAAAAGCGCAAUCUUGAUAACACAAUGUUGAACAACUAUAGACCAAUAUCAAAUCUUCCUUUCAUAGGUAAGAUUAUUGAAAAGGUGGUUUUUAAUCAGCUGAACAACUACUUAAACUCAAAUGGAUACCUGGACAAUUUUCAAUCUGGUUUCCGAGCGCAUCACAGUACAGAAACCGCGCUUAUUAAGAUAAUAAAUGAUAUUCGCUUCAAUUCUGAUUUUGGCAAAAUAUCAGUGCUAGUACUACUAGAUCUUAGUGCUGUGUUUGACACUGUCGAUCAUAACACUUCUAGAGAGACUGGAAAACUGGGUCGGGCUUUCUGGGAUGGUACUCAGAUGGUUCAGGUCAUACUUAGAAGGGAGUUUAUUAUGUGAGUAUAGGAGAGCAUAAGUCUAAGUGGACAUCCAUGGCAUGCCGAGUCCCAUAAGGCUCAAUUCUUGCACCACUCUUGUUUAGCCUGUAUAUGCUCCCACUAAGUCAAAUAAUGAGAAAGAACCAAAUUGCCUAUCACAGCUAUGCUGAUGAUACCCAGAUUUACCUAGCCUUAUCUCCAAAUGACUACAGCCCCAUUGACUCCCUCUGCCAAUGCAUUGAUGAAAUUAACAGUUGGAUGUGCCAGAACUUUCUUCAGUUAAACAAGGAGAAAACUGAAGUCAUUGCAUUUGGAAACAAAGGUGAAGUUCUCAAGGUGAAUGUAUACCUUGAGUCUAGGGGUCAAACAACAAAAAAUCAAGUAAAAAAUCUUGGGGUGAUUCUGGAGACAGAUCUUAGUUUUAGUAGUCAUGUCAAAGCAGUAACUAAAUCAGCAUACUGCCAUCUCAAAAACAUUGCAAGAAUUAGAUGUUUUGUUUCCAGUCAAGACUUGGAGAAACUUGUUCAUGCCUUUAUCACCAGCAGGGUGGAUUAUUGUAAUGGUCUCCUCACCGGCCUUCGAAAGAAAACCAUUAGACAGCUGCAGCUCAUCCAGAACGCUGCUGCCAGGAUUCUGACUAGAACCAGAAAAUCUGAGCAUAUCACACCAGUCCCCAGGUCCUUACACUGGCUUCCAGUUACAUUUAGGAUUGAUUUUAAAGUACUUUUACUAAUUUACAAAUCACUCAAUGGCCUAGAACCUAAAUACAUUGGAGAUAUGCUCACUGAAUAUAAACCUAACAGACCACUCAGAUCAUUAGGAUCGAGUCAGUUAGAAAUACCAAGGGUUCACACAAAACAAGGGGAGUCCGCUUUUAGCUAUUAUGCCGCCCGCAGUUGGAACCAGCUUCCAGAUGAGAUCAGAUGUGCUAAAACAUUAGCCACAUUUAAAUCCAGACUCAAAACUCAUCUGUUUAGCUGUGCAUUUGUUAAAUGAGCCCUGUGCUAUGUCCGAACUGAUUGCACUAUGUAUAAUCAUUUUCUAUACUUAACUGUUUUAAAUUAUUUUUAAAUCAAUUUUUAUAUAAUUUUGUUUUAUUUGUUUUAAAUUCCUUGUUUUUAUUGUUGUGAUUAUUAUUAUUUUUAAUGACUACUUCACGUCCUUUUAUGUAAAGCACUUUGAAUUACCACUGUGUAUGAAAUGUGCUAUAUAAAUAAACUUGCCUUGCCUAUUGUGACAUUUAUUGGGAGUAGGACUUACACUUCUGGCCAAAAGUUUGGAACAAUUACGAUUUAUUUACAUUUUUUUAAAAGAAGUCUCUUAUGCUCACUGCGUUUAUUUGAUUAAAAAUACAGUAUUAUUAUAUUCUGUUAAAUUAUAUUGUAACAAUGUAUUGCAAUUUAAAAUAAAAUAAUAAAUAAAUUAUAUUAUAUUAUAAAAAUGUAUUACAAUUUAAAAUAACUAUUUUCUAAGUCUAAUAUAUAAUAUAUGAUGGCAAAGCAUGUAAAUAAUAGUUUCUUCAAAAAUAUUAAACGGCAUAAACUGUUUUCAGCUUUGAUAAGAAUUAAAAACUAUUUUUAAUAAUUGAGGACCAAUAGUAACUGACAAUAACUGAGCAGCAAAUCAGCAUAUUAGAAUGAUUUCUGAAGGAUCAUGUGAUGCUGAAGACUGGAGUAAUGAUGCUGAAAAUUCAGCUUUGCAUCACAGAAAUAAAUUACAUUUUUAAAAUAUAUUAAAAUAGAAAACAGUCCUUUUAAAUUGUAAUACUAUUUCACAAUAUUACUGAAAUUUUUGGCAUUGGUGAGCAUGUUUCUUUCAAAAACAUUGGCUCCAUCUAGUGUUGUAAAAGUGAUAUUUUGACAUACAUAGGCAGAUUAUAAAACAGCAAACAUGUUUUUUGGAAAAUACUUAAUUUCCUCUUCAGGCUAAAUGUCAUGUGCUGUAGGAUAGCAUUCAAACAAUCAGUUUCAUCAUGUUACAUUUGUAACAAGGCAAGUCUAUUUAAAUAGCAGAUUUCACAGUCAUAAUUUAGUGUGCCUUACAAAAAAAAAAAAAAAAAAAGGAUUCUUUUUCAGUAGUUGUGCCAUUUAGAGAGAUAUUUAUGAUAUUUUUGAAACUAGCGUAGCCUAACAAAGCUAAUACAUUAAAAGCACCUCCCUAAUACCAUGUAGUUCCCCCUUGUGCUGCCAAAACAUCUCUGAUGCAUUGAGGCAAAGACUCCACAAAACCUCUGAACGUGUCCUGUGGUAUCUGAGACCAAGACAUUAGCAGAUGCUUGAAGUCCUGUAAAUUGAGGUGGGGCCUCCAUGGAUCAGAUUUGUUGGUCCAGCACAACCCAUUGUUGCUCAAUUGUUUGUCAUGUUCCUCAAAUCAUUCCUGAAAGAGGCCACAGGAAACACCGCUGCCAUGAAGGGUGUAUGUGGUCUGCAGCAAUCUUUAGGUAUGUGUAUUCAAAUGAAAGGCAGUCUGAUUUUACUGUAAACAAAUUAGGGUCACUGAACUUACCAUGUUGAUUUACUGUUGUGUCAUGACCCACAUUUACCACUGCAGCUCAAACAGUGCCAUGUAGAUGUAGAGAAUCAUGCACAACAUGGAACAGAGAAGGCUGGUACUAGAAUCAUUUGUUUUGACAAUAACUGCACACAAAAUACAAAGACCACAAAACUAAAAUAGUAGAUUAUUCAGGUACAAAUAAAUGAGCAUACAUGUAACUGCAGCUCAAUGUGUUCAUGAUAACAUCAUUAAACGUCCUGCACAUUGUGCACAAUGUUAAUGAAAUGCCAUUCAGUACUCCAUUUUACAAUAUAAAUACAAUAAAUACAAUAUAAAUCUCGAUGAUGACAUUUUUUGAGGUUAUAUAUUGUAGAAACCACAUGUAAAUAUUACAUAUACUGUUGGCUCUGUGACAUAGUUCUUAUGAACCUCUAUUGUACCUCACCUAAAAGAGCAUGGAAGGUUUCUGUAAUUUUUCACGUCAUCUUUUACUUUAUACAGUCAUGGCCAAAAAUAUCG